rnacentral:rRNA from 1 species
AUGGCUCAGGAUGAACGCUGGCGGCGUGCCUAAUACAUGCAAGUGAAACGGGUAUCUUCGGAUACCAGUCGCGGACGGGUGAGUAAUACAUAGGCAACCUGCCUUUAUGAGGGGGGAUAACCGAGGGAAACUUUGGCUAAUACCGCAUGAAGACUCUAAGGCAUCUUAGAGGGAUAAAAGUUGGGAAACAACGCAUGAAGAUGGGCUUAUGGCGCAUUAGCUAGUUGGUGAGAUAGAAGCCCACCAAGGUAAUGAUGCGUAGCCGACCUGAGAGGGUGAACGGCCACAUUGGGACUGAGACACGGCCCAAACUCCUACGGGAGGCAGCAGUAGGGAAUUUUCGGCAAUGGGGGGAACCCUGACCGAGCAACGCCGCGUGAAAGGAAGAAGGUUUUCGGAUUGUAAACUUCUGUUAUAAGGGAAGAACGGAUUGGAUAGGGAAUGAUCUGAUAGUGACGGUACCUUAUUAGAAAGCCACGGCUAACUACGUGCCAGCAGCCGC